rnacentral:rRNA from 1 species
GAUGAACGCUGGCGGCGUGCUUAACACAUGCAAGUCGAACGAAGCACUUAAACGGAAGUUUUCGGAUGGAAGAUUAAGUGACUGAGUGGCGGACGGGUGAGUAACGCGUGGGCAACCUGCCUCAUACAGGGGGAUAACAGUUAGAAAUAGCUGCUAAUACCGUAUAAGCUUACGGUACCGCAUGGUACAGUAAGAAAAACUCCGGUGGUAUGAGAUGGGCC